GAUGAACGCUGGCGGCGUGCCUAACACAUGCAAGUCGAGCGGGAAAUUCCUGAUUGAAACUUCGGUCGAUUGAAGGAAUGGAGAGCGGCGGACGGGUGAGUAACGCGUAGGCAACCUGCCCUUUGCAGAGGGAUAGCCAUUGGAAACGAUGAUUAAAACCUCAUAAUGCCGGGAGUUCACAUGGGCAUCCGGCCAAAGAUUUAUCGGCAAAGGAUGGGCCUGCGUUUGAUUAGCUAGUUGGUGGGGUAACGGCCUACCAAGGCGACGAUCAGUAGCCGACCUGAGAGGGUGAACGGCCACAUUGGAACUGAGACACGGUCCAAACUCCUACGGGAGGCAGCAGUGGGGAAUAUUGCACAAUGGGCGAAAGCCUGAUGCAGCAACGCCGCGUGAGCGAAGAAGGUUUUCGGAUCGUAAAGCUCUGUCCUUGGGGAAGAUAAUGACGGUACCCUUGGAGGAAGCCCCGGC
rnacentral:rRNA from 1 species